CAGUGGGACACCAACACGCUCACACACGCACAGAGUUCAGCCGAUUUAUCAUAAUAUGCUUUAUCUGAAAAGUAAGUAUCUUACCUCGGGAUAAAGGGAGGAUAGUGGGGCUUGUAGUCAGAUUGGCAGAGGAAGGGAGAGGAUGGAGGGAGCGAGUCGGCUGGUCCAAAGGGAGGACAUGAAGGACCUGUUUGGAACAGAUUAUGACUGAUAAGAUACAGGGACCCAUACGCCGACACAAUGGGGAAGUGUUGUACCCAGGAACCUAGGUCUCUACGGCACUGGGAGAUAUGAUUGACAGAUGGACCUGGAAGGACCACCAUCGUACAUAGAUGAAGGGAUGGAUGGAUGAACAGGUCCUGUCACUGUGUCUACCAACUCUGCACCCCUGAAUAGUCCAGAGAGCCACAAGCCCUCACAGUGAACCAAGGUGCUCCAGUGAAUACGGAGAGAGGGCCUGGAUGGGAGGGCUGCAGGGGUUUCCCAUGGUCUCACUUAGAAGGAACUGUUACUUAGAAUGAAUUGUCAAAGCUUCUUUCAGUAGUGUUGAUCCUAAUUGAACUGUCUGCAAACAAGCAAACAGAUAAAGAAUCUGAUUUAAGUGGAUAACACCAUUUGGAUUUAUCGACAUGAAGCUGAAACCCAGCGAUACUCAGGUUACGUUUCAUAUACUGUACUGAACAAAAAUGUAAACGCAACAUGCAACAAUUUCAACUAUUUUUUACUGAGUUACAGUUCAUAUAAUGAAAUCAGUCAAUUUAAAUAAAUACAGAUACCCAGUCGGGAAUACAGAUACCCAGUCGGGAAUACAGAUACCCAGUCGGGAAUACAGAUACCCAGUCGGGAAUACAGAUACCCAGUCGGGAAUACAGAUACCCAGUCGGGAAUACAGAUACCCAGUCGGGAAUACAGAUACCUUUAAAAAAAAAGAAGGUAGGGGCGUGGGAUCAGAAAACCAGUCAGUAUCUGGUGUGACCACCAUUUGGCUCAUGCAGUGUGACACAUCUCCUUCGUAUAGGCAGUGGAACACACUGUCGUACACGUCAAUCCAGAGCAUCCCAAACAUUCUCAGUGGGUGACAUGUCUGGUGAGUAUACAAGCCAUGGAAAAACUGGGAUAUUAUCAGCAGACAGGAAUUGUCUCCAGAUCCUUGCGACGUGGGGCUGUGCAUUAUCAUGCUGAAACAUGAGGGGAUGGCGGCGGAUGAAUGGCACGACAAUGGGCCUCAGGAUCUCGUCACGGUAUCUCUGUGCAUUCAGGUUGCCAUCAAUAAAAUGCAAUUGUGUUCGUUGUCCAUAGCUUAUGCCUGUCCAUACUAUAACCCCAUCGCCACCAUGGGGCACUCUGUUCACAAUGUUGACAUCAGCAAACCGCUCGCCCACACACAACGCCAUACAAGCUGUCUGCCAUCUGUCCGGUACAAUUGAAACCGGGAUUAAUUAGUGAAGAGCACACUUGCCAUCGAAGGUGAGCAUUUCCCCACUGAAGUCUGUUACAACGCCGCACUGCAGUCACGUUAAGACCCUAGUGAGGAUGAUGAGUACGCAGAUAAGCUUCCCUGAGAUGGUUUCUGACAGUUUGUGCAGAAAUUAUUUGGUUGUGCAAGCCCACAGUUUCAUCAGCUGUUUGGGUGGCUGGUCUCAGAUAAUCCUGCAGGUGAAAGGGGGUACCUAGUCAGUUGUACAACUGCAAAUUUUCUUAAAACGAUGUUGGAGGCGGCUUAUGGUAGAGAAAUUAACAUAAAAUUAUCUGGCAACAGCUAUGUUGGACAUUCCUGCAGUCAGCUUGCCAAUUGCACAUGUUGUGUGAUAAAACUGCACCUUUUAGAGUGGCCUUUUAUUGUCCCCCAGCACAAGCUGCACCUGUGUAACAACAAUGCUGUUUAAUCAGCCACACCUGAAUUAUUUUGGCAAAGGAAAAAUGCUCACUAACAGGAAUGUAAACAAAUUUGUACAACACAUUUUUGAUAAAUAAGCGUUUUGUGCAUUUGGAACGUUUCUGGGAUCUUUUAUUUCAGCUCAUGAAACAUGGGACCAAGACUUUAAAUGAUUUAUAUUUUUGUUCAGUGUAUAUAGUGAAAACAAAUAACAGCACAUCGAUACAACUUUCCCUGAUGUACUGUGUAGUUCAGUGGUACUAUAGCUAAAGUCACAUUAUAGAGUUAAGGAAACACCAGUAUUUUGUUCUGCUAAUAUACACCCUUAGAGAAAAAGGUGCAUCUAGAACCUAAAACAGUUAUUUUGCUGUCCCCAUAGGAGAACCCUUUGAAGAUCCCUUUUUGGUUCCAGGUAGAACCAUUUCCCCAGAGAGUUGUACAUGGUACCCAAAAGAGUUCUACCUAGAACAAAAAGGGUUCUCCUAUGGACGCAGCCAAAGAACCCUUUCGGAACCCUUUUUUCUACAAGUGUAUUGAGAACAAAAAUGAUAUGUGGACAGAGAUAAAUGAAUAGGAAUUGAUAAAAUGUUACUGCUUUAGAAUGAGGUUUUAUUUAGAAUUAUAGCAAGGGUCCAGUGUUGUAAUUCAAUAAAAUGACAUGACAAAAAAUACAAUCUGACUUUGGUGCCAAUGUCUGCAGGCUACAUUGUGCUUUUGCCACUUACAGUUGACGACCUAUGUUUAUACAGUAUUUCUUCCUUUAAUAAUCGUACCUAGCCUGAUUUUAUAUUGGUCUCUCCUGUCUGUGUGCCUAAUGUUGUGUGUUUAUGCUGGUGUUAAUCUGUAUCGUAGCUAUGCGUACUGUAUAUAUUUGAGUGUGCCUCUGCAUAUAUACAGAUUGUCAGGUGUGUGGCAGUAAUUGACAAGGACACUGAUCCGGUGGCUAGAUUAGAAGGUCAGUGUGGGUGGAAACUAGGAAAGAGGGACAGCUAUUCCUGAACCGGAGAAUAUAUAGAACAUGACUUUUCUGUCCUGCUGCCCGACAUACUCACCCACAAAUUGAUGUACACAAUAGAUAUUCACCCUCAUUUACUUCAGGACAACAACCCUGUUAGGCAUUUCUAAUCAGAUGCUACUGUUUAAUGUUGCAGGCAAAAAUAGCAGAUUUCUUAAAAUGAACAAGUCUGCAAACUACACCUACAAUAUUAAAAGUAGCACCUGAGUAGAAAUAUGUAUGUGCAAAGGAAUUGAGGGGACAUAACCUGAAUUAAGGGGACAUAGACUAAUUUAAUUAUGCUACAUCCCCUCAAUUCCUAAGAACAUAUUUUGAUUACCAUAAUAAAACAGAUUUCUACUAGUUUCCUGAACAUGUUAAGCAACAUGGUGGAAAACUUCAGUCAUACUUGUUCAGUGGGGAAUUCUAAAAGUCAAGAAGACAGAUUCGAUCUUUAUGUUGAUUCGUCCUGUCCACCCCUGUGAGAGAUGUGCUAUUCUGAGGCACUUGCAUGCUUGCAGCCUCAAUCAUGUAUUUCCACUUUAACAUCAGUACACUUCUAGCAGUUCAUUAGGGCAGACUUUCACAUAUUUUACAAUAAAACGGGAUAGAGCUAAACAAAUAUAAAUGAGUUUGAAUGUUGAAGAGAUAGCAAGGGUCUCUGAGGCUGAGCCCAGUUUUUAUGCUAGUGUUAAUUAAUUUAUCAAUGUGAUGACGGAACAAAUAAACUGAGCACUUUUUGGACAUUCUCUAUAAGGAUGUUCUCUCUCUGAUCUGAAGACUUCACAUAAAAACAGAGACACAUAGAAUGACACUGUGCUCUAGGCCUAACUUACCACAGCUGAGAACAGAUAUCUGAUACAGUAAUGUUGAUUGUUUCUGUAAGGAUUCAGUUGUAUAUGUCAGAUAAAACAGUACAGCUCCAACGGUCUGAAUAUUGUUGAAGAGAUACCUAAAAUAAUGUUUAGUAUAGGGCUCUACAGAUACCCUCCAUCCAUGGACUUCACGUCAUUCAGAGUAUGACUUGUCUAGUUGGCUCGUUGUUCAAAUGUGGUACUUUACUGCCCUCUAGUGGUCGUUUUGUAUCUCAAAAAAAUAAUAAAGAACACAAUCCACGUAAAAAACAAAGUUUUUCCAUUGCCUCAAAACAUGGGACAAGACUACCAAUUGGAUACCACGAAAUUCGGGAAAUAAAGAGGUAAAAAACUUGAUUCACUACUGGACACUUUCUGUGUAACUCCUUUUCACAAGGAUUCAAUUUUUUUUUUUUUUUUAUCACACACGAUAACCUAUUUUGUCCAGUAUUUGAAACAACAUUGGACUGAGAUUGCUAAUGCAUUCAGAAGAACACCAGAUUGUGAUGGUCAUAGCAAACAAACCUUACUCAUAAUGGUCAAAGUUGUGCUUUUCACAGCUCUGGCGAUAACAUCAAAUAUCUAUGUUAGUAAUUGAUUGAUAGUCAAUGGACUAAACAAAAUUGACAGAAGACAGGUGUGUGUGUGUAACAUCCAUUUACCACCUUAUAUGAGAAAUCUGGAAAUUACAAACAUUGUUUUAUUUCAGCAUCUUAACAUUUCAAAUUCAAAUUAAGAAAUAAAAAUGAUUUAAGUUAAAAGGGUGACACAUCAACCUGAGAAACAUUACACAAAUGUAGAAUCUGGAGCAAAGUGAAGGGGGAGGUCUAAAUAUCUCUGACCAUCCCAUUUAUAGCUCCCAUAACAUUAACAUAAAUUAUCACUUUACCAAUUACACUAUUUUUGGUUUGCAAGAGAGCAUUGACCACCAAGCUCCAUUACCCUCACAACAAGGCCCCUCAGGAGCGAUCACAAAGAAUAUCACUGGAUUCACUAUUUGUUUAAAAAAGCCUUAAAAUGCUGUCUCCAAUUAUUUAUCACUGAAACCAAAUUUGAGAAUUCAAAGACAAAGGGAAAACAGUGUCAAUCAGGUAAAGGGGAAAUGAAAUGAGAAUGAACCAUCAAGGAUCCCCUUUGACAGCCAAAAUAAGCUUACGUCGAUGUUGUUUUCUGUACAAAAUUUAAUUAGAAUCCCCCAUCUCCAUUUCAUUCACAAAUAUUAUUUCCACGAUGAAAAAUGUGCGUAAGCAAAAAAAUUAAAAAGAAUACAUUGACAACCAGUCCCAUGUGGCUCAGUUGAUAGAGCAUGGUGCUUGCAACACCAGGGUUGUGGGUUCAAUUCCCACAGGGGACCAGUCAGGAGAAAGUAUGGAAAUGUAUGCACUACUGUUAGUCACUCUGAAUAAGUGCAUCUGCUCAAUGAUGUAAAUAACCAUGAUAGUGAUGAUCAAUAUUGUAAGAAUAAACCAUUGCUCCAGA